CUCUGUGUUAAUUUUUUGUUUAUAUGCAAAUUCAUAUGUACCACCUAACCUGCUUUUAAAUGCCCAGAUGGUCCUUUUGCCUAUUCAUAGGGAGAGGCUCAGAAACACACAUGCAUCUUUCUGUGGUCAGUCAUAACAGAUUUGUUCUAAAUAAGCCACACUGUUUUGCAAGAUGGCAGGGAACUGUCGGCCAACAUGAGUCUAUGCAUCUAAUGUCAUGAUUAUAGUCAAACAUUUUGUCAUGUUAGAGUCAACAAGAACUAGCUUACUAUUAUAAAACAUGAUCUUUAAAUGAACAAAAUACGCUUUUCAGAUAGAGCCUCUUGAAUUUCCACAUCACUAUUAGCUUCAAAUAUUUUCUUUGCAUUUGAAUCAUUAUUGACCCUUAAAAUAUCCUUUAUUGGUAAAAGCAGUAAUAUUAAUUUUUGCUUCUGUAAAAUAGAGAUAAUGAGGCAAGAAAAGUAAAAGUCCCCGUCUUACAGUCUGUUGUAUUCUUAAACUCAAAAUACUCGCUUUAGUCUGGGCAUGAUGCCUCACGACUGUAGUCCCAGCAAUUCGGUGGGGCUGAGGCAGGUGAAUCACUUGAGCCCAGAAGUUCGAGACCAGCCUGGGCAACAUGGUGAAACCUCGUCUCUCCAAAAAAUACAAAGAAAUUAGCUGGAGUCUGAGGUGGGAGGAUUCCUUGAGCCUGGGAGGUGGAGGCUGCAGUGAGCCAAGAUCGUGCCACUGCACUCCAGCUUGGGCAACAGAGUGAGACUCUUCCUCAAAACAAACAAAAUAAAACACAACUCACUUUAUUUUGAAGCAAUCAGAAAGUAUAUCAUAUCAGGGAUAGGAAAUGAUGAUUAAUAUUUUAGAAAGUUACAUAGGGAAUAGUGCCACCUUUACAAAUAUCUGCUCCAUGAUGAUCUUUGGGCAAAAGAAUGUAGAUGGCUAAAAACAGUGGCCACGUAAACAAGACCAACAGGGCUACUGUGACACAGAGAGUCCACCUCUUUUAUCCCUCAGUGACAUAAGCAUUUUCACAUCUCUGAUUUUUUUAUGGAUGGUGCCUGAUUUUCUGGUUUUAAACUUAUUGAUGGCAGUUUUUUGAAGGUAACGUAAAAUAGCUGCACAAUUGAAUGCCAUCUUAACUAGUCCACACUCUUCUGGAUCUCUUCCGUGGUUUCUAUUGAGUUUACUCUUAGCAACGGCUAAAAUGGGUUGGAUCAAUAGAAUUUCCCUUAGAAACUAAUCUACUUCACACAGCAUCUCUUAGAUGACAAAAUAACUGCUUAAAAAAUAGAAAAUCACAUCUCUUAACCAAACAUCCCAAAUAACUAGUUAUGUUGGCUGAUUAAUUACUUUCUCAAGUUAAGUGAAAAUAUAAAUAGAAUGAAGUAUUAGUUCAGUUAAAGUUGGGUUUAAAUUAUUGUAAUUAAUAACAUAUAUAGUUUGUAUUCUAGAUUGAAUGAGUUCUCUAACCACUUAUUUGGUUUAAAAUUUAUAAAAAUGAAGAGUUGAAUUCAGUUUGUUUAGUAGGUGCAGCAAUUUUUACAGUUUGUUCUAGUUUUGAUUUGCAAUUUUGUUUUUGUUUUUGUUUUUGUUUUUGAUUUGCAAUUUUAUUCUGCCUCAUUUAUUGGAAUUGACCAGCCUGGAAUUUCUCAUUUCUUUACUUGUUAUGAUUUGGGAUAUUUGUAUUUGCUUAUUUUUUCAGCAUAUACACAAGAAGUUUUCAGAGAGUCUAAAGGUUUUUUUUUUUUUAAUUUUUAAUGGAAUUACUUUUCAAAGUUGUUGUUCUGAUUUUUUUUUCUGUUUUUUUCCUAUUUUACUCAGUUGCAAAUCAGCUAAAGAGCAGGUGUUUGGUGUUGGUGCUUUUUAAAAAAGCAAUUCUCACUUAAAAGAGUGUUUUAU
rnacentral:lncRNA from 1 species